GGUUUGGUUAUAUAGGUGGAGCUGGAGGAGAUCCUGGACUCGUAAAAGUGCAGCCCAUUGCAGAUGUCUACAUUAAGCCCUAGACUUUUGCCCCAGCAGCAUGAGUGACAGUGGGAGGCUUACACUUAUCUAAAGAUCAAGUAAAAAGAAAUGAAGGAGACUGAAGAUAAACUUUCCUUUUAAUGUCUUUUUAUGAGAAGCAAAAGAAAAAAAUCAAAAGGCUGUGGAGACCAUCACACAACUGGAGGAGGAGAAGACUGGUCUGAAAGACCCUGUGAGGAACAGUAUAGGAGACAGGAACCUGCUUUAUGAAAGUAACAAGAAGUGAGACGAGCUAACGAAUGGGUGUGAAGAACAGCAGAAUGCUAACAUCCUCCUCCAGUACAGGAACAGUGAAAUAAGACUAAAGUUACAGCAUUGUGAAAAGAUACUAAUGGUAAGUUUUUUUGUCUGAGCUAUGACUGCUGUAGAUCUUUUUUCAAUUUGCAGCUGUGAUGCUCUUGGGUAUGGGCGUGUUUUAGGAGUGUGAGAGACAUUGGGAGUCUCACCUUCUCCUGCAGUUUGAAUACAUGUGGAGAACAUUGCUAUGCUGGAGGAGGAGGAGACUGAUCUGAAAGGCCUUGUGGAGACUUUGCAAGAAACAAGACAUUUGAAACCUGUGUUCUGAAAGUUUAGAGAGUGCAAUGAGCUUACAAAAGCAAACAGAAACAACUGUCAUUAAGCAGCUUCUUUUAUUACAAGUGGACUGAAGGCAUUGUCUUGAUGAGAUGACAGCAUCUUUUGGAUGAAAGAAUAUGUUGUUAUAAAACCUGUAUAUACCUUUCAGCAUUUAUAGUGCCCUUACAGAUGUUCAAACUGUCCAUUCCAUAGGCACUAUUGUACCCCCAUACUAUUAGAGAAGCAGGUUUUGAACUGAGUGCUGAUAACAACCCGGAUAGUCCUCCUCUUCUUUAGUCUGAAAUAGAUUUCUCCAGAUACUUAUCAUG